ACGAACGCUGGCGGCGUGCUUAACACAUGCAAGUCGAACGGAAAGGCCCUGCUUUUGUGGGGUGCUCGAGUGGCGAACGGGUGAGUAACACGUGAGUAACCUGCCCUUGACUUUGGGAUAACUUCAGGAAACUGGGGCUAAUACCGGAUAGGAGCUCCUGCUGCAUGGUGAGGGUUGGAAAGUUUCGGCGGUUGGGGAUGGACUCGCGGCUUAUCAGUUUGUUGGUGGGGUAGUGGCUUACCAAGGCUUUGACGGGUAGCCGGCCUGAGAGGGUGACCGGCCACAUUGGGACUGAGAUACGGCCCAGACUCCUACGGGAGGCAGCAGUGGGGAAUAUUGCACAAUGGGCGGAAGCCUGAUGCAGCAACGCCGCGUGCGGGAUGACGGCCUUCGGGUUGUAAACCGCUUUCGCCUGUGACGAAGCGUGAGUGACGGUAAUGGGUAAAGAAGCACCGGCUAACUACGUG
rnacentral:rRNA from 1 species